rfam:Micromonospora carbonacea strain JXNT-1 contig1, whole genome shotgun sequence.
CUUGAUCGACCCGAGCAGCAGCGGCCGGUUGGCGGGCCGGUCCUGCCCGUACGUGGCCAGCAGCGCCUGCGCCUC